UACGUAUGGUGCAAGCGUUAUCCGGAUUUACUAGGUGUAAAGGGAGCGUAGGCGGCGCGUUAAGUCUGAUGUGAAAACCCGAGGCUCAACCACGGGAGUGCAUUGGAAACUGGCGAGCUGGAGUGCCGGAGAGGUAAGCGGAAUUCCUAGUGUAGCGGUGAAAUGCGUAGAUAUUAGGAGGAACACCAGUGGCGAAGGCGGCUUACUGGACGGCAACUGACGCUGAGGCUCGAAAGCGUGGGGAGCAAACAGG
rnacentral:rRNA from 1 species